ACUAUUUUGGCAGAAAAAAUGUGAUGAUUUUAGAAUUCAUUAAUAUAUAAUUUAAUUAUAUAGAUAGUA
rnacentral:tRNA from 1 species